AGAUAAUAGAUACCCUGGUAGUCCAUGCCGUAAACGAUGGAUGCUAGCUGUAUUCGGUAUCGACCCCGGAUGUAGCGAAGCUAACGCGUUAAGCAUCCCGCCUGUGGAGUACGGUCGCAAGACUAAAACAUAAAGGAAUUGACGGGGACCCGCACAAGCGGUGGAGCGUGUUGUUUAAUUCGAUGAUAAGCGAAGAACCUUACCCAGGCUUGACAUCCUUGGAAUUUCUCCGAAAGGAGAGAGUGCUUUUAGAGCCAAGUGACAGGUGUUGCAUGGCCGUCGUCAGCUCGUGUCGUGAGAUGUUUGGUUAAGUCCAUCAACGAGCGCAACCCUUAUGAUUAGUUGGAUUUUUCUAGUCAGACUGCCCUGGCAACAGGGAGGAAGGAGGGGAUGAUGUCAGGUCAGUAUUACCCUUACGCCUGGGGCUACAAACACGCUACAAUGGCCGGUACAAAGGGCAGCCAAGUCGCAAGACGGAGCAAAUCCCAUCAAAGCCGGUCCAGUUCGGAUAGCAGGCUGAAACUCGCCUG
rnacentral:rRNA from 1 species